rnacentral:tRNA from 3 species
GCGCGCGUAGCUCAAUGGUAGAGCAUUCCGCUUAUACCGGAACGGUUCUAGGUUCAAGUCCUAGCGCGCGCA